rnacentral:ncRNA from 1 species
AAAACGGCCCUUUUCAGGGCCACAAAAUAUAACAAAGGAAAAAAGU